AUGUUUUUGCAGAUGGUUCGUAAAGUAGCUUCAAAGAAACGCAAAAACUGUGAAAGUGAGAAAAGUACUCCGAAGGCAAAGUUGCCCAAGCUUCGCAAUGACGAAACAGCUAACCCUUUAAAUAUUUCUGAUGAUGAAAUCAACAUCACUCCACUUAACACAAUAAAUCUAAUAAAUUCUGAUGACGAUGAGGAUAUGGACUCCGAUGAUGAUAUCGAAGAAGCUGUCAUCUUAAGCCAAAUGGACAGCCUACAGCAACGAUUGGACAAAUUGAAAAACCACAGUGAGAAAAAGAAAACCAAAGUCAGUGGAAAUGUCUCAACAGAACAACGAGCAACAACAUCCAAGCAAAUGAUUUUUGCAGAUAUUCAUCGUCCUCCAAAAACUGACUCCAAAUCAGAACUCACUCAAAAUAUACUUUCUUCAAAAGUCCAGAGAGUCCGAAAGCAUUUAUUUAAUGAAAAUACUGAUAUUGACGAUGUCAUUUCGAAAGCUGAUGAACAAGAUAACAAUAAAAAGCGUACCCUUGACAAUGUCAUUUCGAAAGCUGAUGAACAAGAUAACAAUAAGAAGACUACCUGGCAUUUUAGCGAAACAUUAGAUGAGUCUGCAGUGGACGUAAACAUGCCGAUUACACAAAUUAACACAGACAAAAAUCAAAAGCCUAUAAUCGGUAAAGUAGUCUCGCUUACCAGUCUUGCUUCUUAUAAAAGCCCCCAGAAAAAUGGACUAAUAAUUAAGUGCAUCCUUCAAGAUAUGUCUGGCCAAAUUUUGUUAACAGGGUUCAAUGAACAAGCUGAAAAAUUAUCCUCAAUUUUAAUAUUGAACGAAAGUUAUCAAAUAUCGAAGGCAAUAGUAAAGCCUGCUGCACCACUCUUUAAUAAAACAAGUCAUGCCUAUGAAUUGAUCGCAUCUAAAAAAACACAAAUUGAACGAGUGAGCAAAAACAAAGUCAAUUUGCCUGAUAUCACACACAAUUUUGCUGCAUUUGAAGACAUUAAUAAUGAGUUGAUUCCCUCAAAUACUAUUGUUCAUGUCGAAGGCACUGUUAGUGAAGUUUUCUCUGCUUCCUCCGGUGUAAAUACAUAUCAGAAACCUUACGAACGCAGAGCAGUAACACUUACAGAUUAUUCUGACAAUAAACUAAAUGUAAUUUUAUGGAAUGCCAAUGUUAAUAAUAUUCAGAAAGAGCACAUUGGCCGCAGAGUCAAAAUAUUUGACACAAAAAUUUCCUUGUUUCAAGAAGUUGUCUACGUAAAUGCAUCCAACUCAAGAAUCCAAAUUGAUUAUUAAUGACGUAAUUCUGAAAUUUUUAUUGGUACAAAUUCUUAACUUCAUUACAAAUUGUUACCUAAUUUGUAAAUUUUACCAAUAUUUAGUAAAAUUUAUAUUUAUUACAUUUUUAAUUCAGUAUUCUUCUAUCAAUAAACAAUGUAUCAUGUAUCAUUUUCUCAUAUAUUCCAGCUUUUAUAUAGUGUUAUAAAAUCUAUAAAUAUAGUGUUAAU
rnacentral:lncRNA from 1 species